rnacentral:lncRNA from 1 species
GACGUGUUGGCUAGUUGUAGUAUAUUCCAGGAGCUACAACUUGUCCACGACACCGGCUACUUCUCAGCUUUGCCAUCCCUGGAGACCUGGCAGCAGGAAUAAGUGGAAAAAAGGAAGUCCAGAAGCCUUACUUCCAGGAUAUCCUGGAAGAUAUUUACUUGUGGGAGUGGAGACCCCCGAGGGAAACACGGGAUAAAAGAAAGGGUCCCCUAAGGAGAAUAGAGACUGAGAGAAGAGGGAAUAUUCCAGAGGAGACAGGCCUUGAAUUGGAACGCUACCUACAGACGGAGCCCAGAAGGAUCUCGGAGACCUUUGGUGAGGACUUGGCCUGUUUGCUCCACCCUUCUCCUCCCCGGUGCAUUGAGGAAAGCUUCCGUAGCUUAGACCUCCUGCUGCUCCCCGUGGAAGCGGCCAUCUGUCAGAAGAGCUCAGCAGUCUUGCUCUCUCGGGGCAAGUUGCUAUCUGAGACCUGCCUCAGCCUCCAGCCGCCAACUCUUCUCUAGACAGCUACACAGCUGUCAACCAGGUCCAGCUCAACACAAUGACCUCAUUAAUGCCCCCACUGUCCCCUGAGCUCAGCCACCAUCUGGUCAAAACCUCACAAACUCUCUCUGCCGUGGAUGGCACGGUGACGUUGAAACUCGUGGCCAAGAAGGCUGCUCUCAUCUCCGUAAAGGUGGGAGGGGUCACAACAGCUUCAGCAGCUGUGAUGGUGCCAGGGCCGUUAAGAGUGGACAGAGCGACAGUGACCAAGGAGGGCUAGGGGCUGAAGCAUGUCCUGAAAACAAGAAGAGGGUUCACUGCUGUCAGUUUAACGGGUGCCAGGAAGUUUAUACAAAAAGCUCCCCCUUAAAGGCCCAUCAGGAGACUCACACAGGUGAGAAGCCUUACAGGUACUCAUGGGAGGGAUGCUAGUGGAGUUUUGCAUGAAGCGAUGAGCUCACGAGGCACUACGGGAAACACACAGGUGCAAACCUCUUCAAAUGCAACCACUGCAACAGGUGUUUUUCUAGGUCUGACCAUCUUGCCCUCCCUAUGAAGAAACAUA